rnacentral:rRNA from 1 species
GAUGAACGCUAGCUACAGGCUUAACACAUGCAAGUCGAGGGGUAACAAGAGGAAAGCUUGCUUUUCUUGUUGACGACCGGCGCACGGGUGAGUAACGCGUAUCCAACCUGCCUAUAACUAGGGAAUAACCUUGCGAAAGUAAGACUAAUACCCUAUGAUUUCCUUUGAUGACAUCAGAGUAGGAAUAAAGAUUUAUCUGUUAUAGAUGGGGACGCGUCGGAUUAGCUUGUUGGCGGGGUAACGGCCAACCAAGGCAACGAUCAGUAGGGGUUCUGAGAGGAAGGUCCCCCACAUUGGAACUGAGACACGGUCCAAACUCCUACGGGAGGCAGCAGUGAGGAAUAUUGGUCAAUGGGCGGAAGCCUGAACCAGCCAAGUAGCGUGCAGGAUGACGGCCCUAUGGGUUGUAAACUGCUUUUAUACAGGAAUAAAGUUAGCCACGUGUGGUUAUUUGUAGGUACUGUAUGAAUAAGGACCGGCUAAUUCCGUGCCAGCCGCCGCCGUAA